UGCGUGUUAGCUCAAUUGGUAGAGCAUUGUGCUACGGACACAAAGGUUUCAAGUUCAAAUCUUGUACACGUAG